UACGUAGGGGGCAAGCGUUGUCCGGAUUUACUGGGCGUAAAGAGCGUGUAGGCGGCCACGCAGGUCCGUUGUGAAAACUGAAGGCUCAACCCCCAGCCUGCAGUGGGUACGGGCAGACUAGAGUGCGGUAGGGGAGAUUGGAAUUCCUGGUGUAGCGGUGGAAUGCGCAGAUAUCAGGAGGAACACCGAUGGCGAAGGCGGCAUCCUGGCCAUGUACUGACGCUCAGGGGCGAAAGCGUGGGGAGCAAACCGG
rnacentral:rRNA from 1 species